UAUCUAUUUUCCCCACAAACCCUAACAUUGUCACUGCUCACCCUUUUUCCAUCCUAUCUAUGACCACUUCUGAUGAAAAAAACAAAGUCAUAUUAGUAUUCCUCAUCUCAUUGCCUUCCUAAUGAACCAGUUGGAGUUUUAUUUCAAACAACCUCAUUAUCGACAACCGUUAUACAUCCUCGACGAAUUCGUUAAGAACGACCAUCGUUUCUCCUUCUCUCGAUUCAUUAUGAUUUGGCUUAAUGUUGAUCAUCGUGCUUUUUAAUUCGAUGUUUUGGAUAUUUGAUUAUGUCAUUGCUGUAAUCAAAGUACUGUCUGCAGUGAUUAUUGAUAUGGUUUAAAACUAUGUUAGGGUUUAUUUUUUUGAAUGGAUGUCUGCUCUAUACAAUAUUGUUGAUUACAAGCUCACAUGAUUGUUCUUUUUUUUCUCAUUGGUAGGAUUUUUUAUGCUCCUUGUUUUUUGGGGUUUGAUUCAUUCCUCUUUGAGGCAUGUUACUACAUCGUAUCUAAGGCGUGACAUCAAACACAAAUGUCGUUCGGGUUACAGAGACAUUUGGUGUUGCAGAAUGUCCCCAAAAGGUUGGAUUCUCUUUGUUAAGUGUGAGUUUAAGUUUGGAAGUAUUUAGUGAUUGUAAUGUUUGUCAAGAUUAGACAAUUUAUUAUGAGGUAUUUAUAGGGACGUUUUUAACUGGUUCUUUUGAAGAAGUUUAGACAACUUAUUUUGAUUGUAUGCUAUAAAAUGCUUGGAAAAUCCAGUUUUUAUUAUUUUGAUUAUAUGCCAGAAAAUUCUUAGUUAAUCCAAUUUUGAUUGUAUUGAUUGUAUGCCAAAAAUGCUUAGCUAAUGUAACUGUCUUAUUUUU